GAUGAACGCUGGCGGCGUGCCUAAUACAUGCAAGUCGAGCGAACGGACGAGAAGCUUGCUUCUCUGAUGUUAGCGGCGGACGGGUGAGUAACACGUGGAUAACCUACCUAUAAGACUGGGAUAACUUCGGGAAACCGGAGCUAAUACCGGAUAAUAUUUUGAACCGCAUGGUUCAAAAGUGAAAGACGGUCUUGCUGUCACUUAUAGAUGGAUCCGCGCUGCAUUAGCUAGUUGGUAAGGUAACGGCUUACCAAGGCAACGAUGCAUAGCCGACCUGAGAGGGUGAUCGGCCACACUGGAACUGAGACACGGUCCAGACUCCUACGGGAGGCAGCAGUAGGGAAUCUUCCGCAAUGGGCGAAAGCCUGACGGAGCAACGCCGCGUGAGUGAUGAAGGUCUUCGGAUCGUAAAACUCUGUUAUUAGGGAAGAACAUAUGUGUAAGUAACUGUGCACAUCUUGACGGUACCUAAUCAGAAAGCCACGGCUAACUACGUGCCAGCAGCCGCGGUAAUACGUAGGUGGCAAGCGUUAUCCGGAAUUAUUGGGCGUAAAGCGCGCGUAGGCGGUUUUUUAAGUCUGAUGUGAAAGCCCACGGCUCAACCGUGGAGGGUCAUUGGAAACUGUAAAACUUGAGUGCAGAAGAGGAAAGUGGAAUUCCAUGUGUAGCGGUGAAAUGCGCAGAGAUAUGGAGGAACACCAGUGGCGAAGGCGACUUUCUGGUCUGUAACUGACGCUGAUGUGCGAAAGCGUGGGGAUCAAACAGGAUUAGAUACCCUGGUAGUCCACGCCGUAAACGAUGAGUGCUAAGUGUUAGGGGGUUUCCGCCCCUUAGUGCUGCAGCUAACGCAUUAAGCACUCCGCCUGGGGAGUACGACCGCAAGGUUGAAACUCAAAGGAAUUGACGGGGACCCGCACAAGCGGUGGAGCAUGUGGUUUAAUUCGAAGCAACGCGAAGAACCUUACCAAAUCUUGACAUCCUUUGACAACUCUAGAGAUAGAGCCUUCCCCUUCGGGGGACAAAGUGACAGGUGGUGCAUGGUUGUCGUCAGCUCGUGUCGUGAGAUGUUGGGUUAAGUCCCGCAACGAGCGCAACCCUUAAGCUUAGUUGCCAUCAUUAAGUUGGGCACUCUAAGUUGACUGCCGGUGACAAACCGGAGGAAGGUGGGGAUGACGUCAAAUCAUCAUGCCCCUUAUGAUUUGGGCUACACACGUGCUACAAUGGACAAUACAAAGGGCAGCGAAACCGCGAGGUCAAGCAAAUCCCAUAAAGUUGUUCUCAGUUCGGAUUGUAGUCUGCAACUCGACUACAUGAAGCUGGAAUCGCUAGUAAUCGUAGAUCAGCAUGCUACGGUGAAUACGUUCCCGGGUCU
rnacentral:rRNA from 1 species